AUAGAUAUUGUAUAGUUCAAAUUGGCGUUUUUUCUUUAUUCAAAUUUGAGGUUAAACAUAUGAAUGCUCAUUUAAACAACUGCAAAAUUCCUGGCCCUAUUAAUGACU